rnacentral:rRNA from 1 species
UACAGAGGGGGGCAAGCGUUGUUCGGAAUUACUGGGCGUAAAGGGCGCGUAGGCGGCCCGCUAAGUCGAACGUGAAAUCCCCCGGGCUCAACCCGGGAACUGCGUCCGAUACUGGGAGGCUUGAAUCCGGGAGAGGGAUGUGGAAUUCCAGGUGUAGCGGUGAAAUGCGUAGAUAUCUGGAGGAACACCGGUGGCGAAGGCGGCAUCCUGGACCGGUAUUGACGCUGAGGCGCGAAAGCCAGGGGGAGCAAACGGG